AUUGAACGCUGGCGGCAGGCCUAACACAUGCAAGUCGAGCGGAUGAAGGGAGCUUGCUCCUGGAUUCAGCGGCGGACGGGUGAGUAAUGCCUAGGAAACUGCCUGGUAGUGGGGGAUAACGUCCGGAAACGGGCGCUAAUACCGCAUACGUCCUGAGGGAGAAAGUGGGGGAUCUUCGGACCUCACGCUCUCAGAUGAGCCUAGGUCGGAUUAGCUAGUUGGUGGGGUAAAGGCCUACCAAGGCGACGAUCCGUAACUGGUCUGAGAGGAUGAUCAGUCACACUGGAACUGAGACACGGUCCAGACUCCUACGGGAGGCAGCAGUGGGGAAUAUUGGACAAUGGGCGAAAGCCUGAUCCAGCCAUGCCGCGUGUGUGAAGAAGGUCUUCGGAUUGUAAAGCACUUUAAGUUGGGAGGAAGGGCAGUAAGUUAAUACCUUGCUGUUUUGACGUUACCAACAGAAUAAGCACCGGCUAACUUCGUG
rnacentral:rRNA from 1 species